CAUGCAUGUCUUCGAAGUAUAAUAGGAAGUGAUCCAUAAAUCUGCGAACGGCUCCGUAUAUCUGUUAUCACCUUCGGCCACUUAAAAGAUCUCGGAUACCCACGGUAAUUCUGAGGCUAAUACGUAUACGUAACUUGGGCCUCCAGGACACGGCAUCCUCCAGUGGGGAGGGCGCCGGGGCUAUCCGAUUGAUGCCGGGGGGCCCCGCAAGGGGUCCACUGUCAUGAGUGCAGGGUAGUGCGCCACACCGCCAGGGCAUUACAUCUCGCGGGGUGCGCUCCGGGUGCCAGCCCUAUUAACUAGAUGUCCGGUCAAGGCCCGGCCACGGUGAUAACGGGUACAGAGGAUUAGGGUUCGAUCCUGGAGAGGAAGCCUGAGAGAUCGCUUCUACUUCUAAGGAAGGCAGCAGGCGCGCAACGUUCCCAAUGGGGAUACCCUGAGGACGUGAGGGGAUAUAGCAAUGCCCCGCCCAUAAAGCGGGGCAAUUGCAAUGGGGGUCCUCUAAACCCUCCACCGAGUAACAAUUGGAG
rnacentral:rRNA from 1 species